UACGGGGGGAGCAAGCGUUGUUCGGAAUCACUGGGCGUAAAGGGUGCGUAGGCGGGUUCUUAAGUCAGAGGUGAAAUCCUGGAGCUCAACUCCAGAACUGCCUUUGAUACUGAGAGUCUUGAGUUCGGGAGAGGUGAGUGGAACUGCGAGUGUAGAGGUGAAAUUCGUAGAUAUUCGCAAGAACACCAGUGGCGAAGGCGGCUCACUGGCCCGAUACUGACGCUGAGGCACGAAGGCGUGGGGAGCAAACAGG
rnacentral:rRNA from 1 species